AACGAACGCUGGCGGCAUGCCUAACACAUGCAAGUCGAACGAGACCUUCGGGUCUAGUGGCGCACGGGUGCGUAACGCGUGGGAACCUGCCCUUAGGUUCGGAAUAACUCCCCGAAAGGGGUGCUAAUACCGGAUAAUGUCUUCGGACCAAAGAUUUAUCGCCUUUGGAUGGGCCCGCGUUGGAUUAGCUAGUUGGUAGGGUAAAAGCCUACCAAGGCGACGAUCCAUAGCUGGUCUGAGAGGAUGAUCAGCCACACUGGGACUGAGACACGGCCCAGACUCCUACGGGAGGCAGCAGUGGGGAAUAGUGGAAAAUGGGCGAAAGCCUGAUGCAGCAAGGCCGCGUGAGUGAUGAAGGCCUUAGGGUUGUAAAGCUCUUUUACCCGGGAUGAUAAUGACAGUACCGGGAGAAUAAGCUCCGGCUAACUCCGUG
rnacentral:rRNA from 1 species